rnacentral:lncRNA from 1 species
AGAGGACCCAAUUUCCAAAAAGAGAGAGAGAGAGGAGGACAAACUAUAAUCUAUUUGAAGGAGUCUUCAGCCGCAGACUUUCUCUAGACGGAAAAAAAACAAAACAAAAAAAUUCCUAAACCCUAGAAGACCUAAAAGUCUUCAGCCAUUCCCCACCCCUGCUAAUCUCCUCUUUCUCUUCUUUAUUCCUUGCACGUAAACAUCUAAAAAAAACAUGGAGUCAAGCAACAAAACAACCCUCGAAACCAGCCCUAGAACACCGAAAACCCACCCCAAAUCCAGCUGAAAAAUCUCCCGAUAAUCGGAUCUUCUCCAUCCAUAAAACAACCAGUAAAACUAGUCCAAAGAAGUUCCAAAUUCAGCUGAAAAACAAUUCGAGAACGACCUUAUUUCCUCAAAAAUAACAGCAUUUUUGAGAUUGAGUUCAGUGAAAGCUCCGGAUGUUGGUUGCUAGUUCCAUUCGAGGUAUUGGUGAGAUCUCUAGUCAAGGUUAUGCUUGAAGAUCUUAUUUCAUAGGAAGCUUUUUAUAUACUGUGCAUCAAUGCUUCUUAUCCCAUUUUUAAUUGAUGCAAAAGUUCUUGGCACUCUCUUUGUCUUCAUGCGUUUUUAACUUUGACAUAGUUUUAGUUCCAUUAUCUUUACAUAUGUGUAUACAUUUGUCAUCUUGAACUAGCAUAUUAAAUGGGUAAUUCAUAAAUUUUGAUGGUAAACUGUUCAUUUCAUUUUUGUAUACUGAUUUAGUACUUAUUUCAUGUUAUGCCAUAUUUUUCAUUGUGAAUAAUAAAUACCUUGGUUUGUGCGUUGUUGAGUAGUUUGUUGCUUAAUAUCACUUUAAAUUAAUUUAUUGUCAUUUUUAUUUAAGCUAAUGCGUAAGUAUUGAUGCUGAAUUGAACAGGUAGUAGGGUUUAAUUAGAACUUGUAAUUAUGGGUUCACAUUAAAGUGAUUGAUAACAAUUUGGUCACGGUGGUGCUAUGGAAUUGUAAGAAGCUUAUGGUUUUGAGAUGAUCUUAAUAAUCAAUGAGGCAUGACAACUUUAAGAUGCAGUUGAUCUAAUUAGCCUAAUGACUAGAUUACAUCAUUUCCUACUCAAUAUUUUAUAUCCAUAAUUUCACUGACCUUGCACAAUAAUCUCAAACUUGGGAAAAAAUGAUUUCAUGAAUAUUGUAGCUUGCUUUAGGCGCGAUUUAUGAUUAAUAAAUCAUCGUAAUUAUGAGCGUUGUUCCCAUGGCAUAGUUGCGAUAUGUAAUUCCUAAUUCGAGUGUGCAUUUCACGUCACUCAAUCACAACUUCAAACAAUAAUAAAAUAAAUAUGUUGUAGAUCGUGAGUACGGUUCUCGUGACACGGUUUACAAUGUAUACCAAAACAACAAGUGUACGAUAAUCGCGACUUGUUAGAAAAAUAAAUAAAACCGGUUAUAAAGUUAAAAAUGCACAAUGGGUUUAAAAUAUGUAAUAUAAAUCAGAUAAUGAGGUUAGUUAUUAAUAGUUGAACGACCGUGGUAAAAUCACAAAACUCCGGAGUGCCUCACACCUUUUUCCGAGUUAAUAGAAUUUCUUACCCGGUCUCUGUGUUUGCGGACCAAAAAUAAAGUCAAUUUCCUCAAUUUGGGAUUUAAAAUAAACCGGUGACUUGGGACACAAUACAAGUAUAUCAAGUGGCGACUCUAAAAUAAAUAAAUAAUCCCAUUUUGAUUCAUGUCACUUCAAUUGGAAAAUUCCAUAUCCCCUCGGAAAGAAGAAGGUCUGCCGGAUGCUGGUGUCUGGUGUUGCUCUCCGAGUUCGCGAGGAACCUGUCGUGUUUGAAAAGAAGGAUUUGGCUUCAGGGACUUUGUCCUUCGCGUUCGCGAAGAAGGAAAUCUUUGUUGCACAGGUCUGACUUCGGAGGAUCAUAUCUCGUAAUCUAUAAAGAAUUUGGAGAUGAUCUAGAAUAGAAAGUUGUAGUCCUUUGUGUCUAGUUUUCAUAAAGGUAAAUCAUAUAGUAUUUUUGAUUUGUGUACAAAAGGUUAUGGUUUUUACACUACAUGAUGUCCAAAAAGAUGGAGAAAAAAAUUGUAUUGCAUAGGGCUGACUUUGGAGGCUUAUAUCUCAAGAUCUAUAAGGAAUUAGGAGAUGACCAAAACAUGAUUGGUGUCUAGUUAUCAGAAAGUUAAACCAUUUGUCAUUUGUGGUUUUGUAGAUAAUGUUAUAACCAUUAUACUAGAGGAUGUCGAAGAAGAGUUUGGGAAUGGCUUUCAAAAAUCUUGUUCAUCACGAAUGCGAUGGGAGGUCCGCAAACACGAAGAAGGAUUGCUUGGAA